GAUGAAGAACGCAGCAAAAUGCGAUAAGUAAUGUGAAUUGCAGAAUUCAGUGAAUCAUCGAAUCUUUGAACGCACAUUGCGCCCGCUGGUAUUCCGGCGGGCAUGCCUGUUCGAGCGUCAUUUCAACCCUCAGGCCCAGCCUGGCGUUGGGGAUCGGCGCGGCCCCUCCGGGGGCUGCCGGCCCCGAAAACUAGUGGCGGUCUCGCUGUAGUCCUCCUCUGCGCAGUAGCUAACACUCGCACUGGAACGCGGCGCGGCCAUGCCGUAAAACAACCCACUUCUGAAAGUUGACCUCGGAUCAGGUAGGAAUACCCGCUGAACUUAAGCAUAUCAAUAAGCGGAGGA
rnacentral:misc_RNA from 1 species